rnacentral:rRNA from 1 species
UACGGAGGGGGCUAGCGUUGUUCGGAAUUACUGGCGUAAAGCGCACGUAGGCGGCUUUGUAAGUUAGAGGUGAAAGCCCAGGGCUUAACCCUGGAAUUGCCUUUAAGACUGCAUCGCUAGAAUCGUGGAGAGGUGAGUGGAAUUCCGAGUGUAGAGGUGAAAUUCGUAGAUAUUCGGAAGAACACCAGUGGCGAAGGCGACUCACUGGACACGUAUUGACGCUGAGGUGCGAAAGCGUGGGGAGCAAACAGG